rnacentral:lncRNA from 1 species
GUUGGAGAUUAUGAGGGUGAAUAUAUUGGUGGAAAUAGCAGUUAUUGGUAUGACUGAAUUGCUGUAAAGAAGAGACCGAUAAGGUGAAGGAAGAGAUUAUAGUUUCCUUGUGUGUUCAGAUAUUGGAAAUAGAGAUGAUACAUUCAGGAGGUAAUUGAUUGUGUGAUCCUAACGUGAACGCUUAAACAACUAGUCAUUCCCCGUGUUCGAAUCUCCCUAUAUGAGUUUAUGGGGGGAGGUUUCUUCUAGAAUAGUAAAACGAGCAAUCAUAUUUUGGCCCCGUUGUCGAGGAGUGAUAAUAGCUUUGAGUGUUA